rnacentral:lncRNA from 1 species
CAAAAACUGAAAUCUAUUGAAUUGAUACAUUUUGUAAUUAUUCAAAAUUAAAUCAGAAACCUAUACGUAAUUAUAAAAUAAUGAACCUGUUAAAGGGAGACAAUCCCAUAUUGACUUAUUCGAAUCUAAGCAUAAUACAAAGGAAUGUCACUCUUGCAUACAAAUGGCACAUACAUAUAAUUGAAUAACUGUGCAUUCGUGCUCCAC